AUUGAACGCUGGCGGCAUGCCUUACACAUGCAAGUCGAACGGCAGCGGGGGAGAAGCUUGCUUUUCCUGCCGGCGAGUGGCGAACGGGUGAGUAAUACAUCGGAACGUUCCCUGUAGUGGGGGAUAACUAGUCGAAAGAUUAGCAAAUAACGCAUACGACCUGAGGGUGAAAGUGGGGGACCGCAAGGCCUCAUGCUAUAGGAGCGGCCGAUGUCUAAGUAGCUAGUUGGUGGGGUAAAGGCCUACCAAGGCGACGAUCAGUAGCUGUCUGAGAGGACGAUCAGCCACACUGGAACUGAGACACGGCCCAGACUCCUACGGGAGGCAGCAGUGGGGAAUUUUGGACAAUGGGCGAAAGCCUGAUCCAGCAAUGCCGCGUGUGUGAAGAAGGCCUUCGGGUUGUAAAGCACUUUUGUCCGGAAAGAAAUGGCUCUGGUUAAUACCUGGGGUCGAUGACGGUACCGGAAGAAUAAGGACCGGCUAACUACGUGCCAGCAGCCGCCGUAA
rnacentral:rRNA from 1 species